rnacentral:lncRNA from 1 species
GGGGACCUGAAAGAAUUUUGGGUAAGAAUGGCUGGUUUGAGUGGAGCAGACAGGGUGCAGGUGUGAGGUGCUGUGGCCAUCCCUGUGUCCAUCUCCAUCCCCAGCCCUGCAGCCGCGGGGGCCCCUCCCCUCCCAGCUGAAGGCAAUGAUCCCCCCUGGUUAAAGGCAGCAGAUCCCGGCUCCCUCCCUGCUCCUGGAGGAGAACGACACUGGAGGUGUUUUCAGGGAGGUUUUGCAGCCACAGGAAGUGUGUGUGAGCCCAGCAGCGAUGGUGCCACGACCCCCUGGGCGCCCUGAGCCCCCGAAGGCAGCAGAGGGCUGUGCCUGGCAGAGCCUCCGCUGCCUCCGUCUCCACAGGCACAAGAAGAAAGUGGCUUAUUCUGCCCACAUCUGCAAGCUCCUGAACCGGACACGUUCCACUGGGGAUUCUCACCUGCUAAAUCCUCUGCUGGCCUUGGGGAUGCUGGCCCUGGAGACCUCCCGGCUGUCCCGCUGCUGCAGGAGGAGCCACCGUGAAGUCCUGCUGGCCACGGAGCUGGUGCUGCUGCGUGAGCUCUACAAGCAGCCUCUUCCAGGACCUUGAGAACAAGAGCCGAGGCAGGAUAGGAUAGCUUUUGUAGUAUUUUAAUGAGGUUUUGGUAAAUAAAGGAUUUUUUGGUAUUGUUUAAUGAAGCCUCCUCCCUGGGUUGGCUGUGCCAGCACUGAGAGCAGCAGGUGUUGGGCUGGGUACCUGCGUGCUCAGGAAGGGCUGCA